rnacentral:SRP_RNA from 1 species
GCCGGGCGAGGUGGCGGCGCCUGUAGUCCCAGCUACUCGGGAGGCUGAGGCAGGAGAAUGGCGCAACCCCGGGAGGCGGAGCUUGCAGUGAGCUGAGAUCCGGCCACUGCCCUCCAGUCUGGGCGACAGCGCUAGACUCCCUCUUAACAAANNNNNNNNNNUUUGUUAAGAGGGAGUCUAGCGCUGUCGCCCAGACUGGAGGGCAGUGGCCGGAUCUCAGCUCACUGCAAGCUCCGCCUCCCGGGGUUGCGCCAUUCUCCUGCCUCAG